UCGGGUUGUAUGCAUAGAUCUUCAUAGUUUGGCCCCUCAAUUCCCUUACUUCCUUUAACGCCUUUAAUUCUGGUGAGUCAACUUCUUAAACUCUUCGGUUAGAUUUCUGAUGAGCAAGUCCUUAUAAUCGGACUCGGGUGUGCUUGAGAUAGGGUGGGUGGAGUGUGGCAUGGUCUCCACAUAGAUGGGGGUGUUGUGUUGGGUGUGGCCAUGGUAAGUUGUGGAGUUCAAAGAUUCUGGGAUGAGUAUUGGAGUAUUGUUAGG
rnacentral:lncRNA from 1 species